rnacentral:misc_RNA from 1 species
GAUUUGUUCCUUGGUAUUUCCUCUUUGCAGUAGGCUUUAACGGUGCCUCGAGCAACCCACCAAACACAGCACCCUUCUUAUCACCAGUAAUCAGCAAGCAAGGACCAGAAAUAUCAGCACUCUUGCGAAUAAGAGUGCGGAGUGAUAUACCGUGUCUGGCCGUACUAUAUAACAAGACCCAUUGACAACCUUUCACUAUAUUAGGAAGGGAAGACUGGAAAAAAUCAUACAAAUUUGGAGUAAUGAAAACAGAAUCAGUAGUGAGAUAGGCCAGUGACUGCUCAAAGCUGUGUCUAUCAGGAGCAUCUUCAAAAGUUUCAGAACCGCUGGCAAUGCUCCCAGC